rnacentral:rRNA from 1 species
UAGGGAAUCUUCCGCAAUGGACGCAAGUCUGACGGAGCAACGCCGCGUGAGUGAAGAAGGAUUUCGGUUCGUAAAACUCUGUUGUUAGAGAAGAACAGCGCAUAGAGUAACUGUUAUGCGUGUGACGGUAUCUAACCAGAAAGCCACGGCUAACUACGUGCCAGCAGCCGCGGUAAUACGUAGGUGGCAAGCGUUGUCCGGAUUUAUUGGGCGUAAAGCGAGCGCAGGCGGUCAAUUAAGUCUGAUGUGAAAGCCCCCGGCUCAACCGGGGAGGGUCAUUGGAAACGGGUUGACUUGAGUGCAGAAGAGGAGAGUGGAAUUCCAUGUGUAGCGGUGAAAUGCGUAGAUAUAUGGAGGAACACCAGUGGCGAAGGCGACUCUCUGGUCUGUAACUGACGCUGAGGCUCGAAAGCGUGGGUAGCAAACAGG